UUAAUAUGAUGAUAAUUAUGACCAGUUCUGCUACUGAAAUCAUUUGAAGAUAUUCCAAUUUCUGAAAA
rfam:Apis mellifera strain DH4 linkage group 7, whole genome shotgun sequence.